UACGUAGGGGGCAAGCGUUGUCCGGAUUUAUUGGGCGUAAAGAGCGUGUAGGCGGUCAGGUAGGUCCGUUGUGAAAACUCGAGGCUCAACCUCGAGACGCCGAUGGAAACCAUCUGACUAGAGUCCGGAAGAGGAGAGUGGAAUUCCUGGUGUAGCGGUGAAAUGCGCAGAUAUCAGGAGGAACACCGGUGGCGAAGGCGGGUCUCUGGGCCGGUACCGACGCUGAGGAGCGAAAGCGUGGGGAGCGAACAGG
rnacentral:rRNA from 1 species